GCAUUGUUUACAUUGCGCCUAGGGACACCUCCAAGUGGCCACACCUUAGAGGCCACUGGAGGUGCUUCCUGGCUCAGUGCUGCAGAGUAGGCAGCUCUGCCAUUCAGCUUCCCCACACUCUGAAUGGGGGUGCUGAAUUGUCCUCAUAGAGAUGCAUUGAUUCAAUGCAUCUCUAUGAGGAGGUGCUGAUUGGCCAAAAUGGUGUUUGACCCU